rnacentral:misc_RNA from 1 species
CUGGUUGCAUCCAAAAUUUUCACUAUUUUCAAUAACCUCUUAAGGGUUUCAAGCUAAGUAGAACUAAAACAGACUGUCUACACUGCACUUUUAAUGAUGGACGGGGAAAUUAUUGAAAUGGGAUUAGCCUAGAUGGCAUAGAGGUCCCAUUACACCAAGGGACAAGGGAAGUGAGGAGGAUGUCAACCAUUGAACUAAAACAGGAAAGUUGAAGCAAAGUGCAACGAGAAUCCUAUUUGAUUACAAAAUGCCAGUUAUGUUGAGGGGGAAGUUUUGGAAGACUGCAAUUCAGCCAACUAUGACGUAUGCAUAGUUAUUAAAAGCGUGCCUCAGGCACGCCUCAGGCUCCUGGCUCACAAGGCUCCAGUCCUAG